rnacentral:misc_RNA from 1 species
GAUGAAGAACGCAGCGAAAUGCGAUAAGUAGUGUGAAUUGCAGAAUUCAGUGAAUCAUCGAAUCUUUGAACGCACCUUGCGCCCUUUGGCUAUUCCGAAGGGCAUGCCUGUUUGAGUAUCAUGAACACCUCAACUCUCAUGGUUUUUCCAUGAUGGGCUUGGACUUUGGGGGUCUUGCCGGCCUAUGGUCAGCUCCUCUUAAAUGAAUCAGCUUACCGGUGUUUGGUGGGUAUCAUGGGUGUGAUAACUAUCUACGCUUGUGGUUUUUCCACCAGGUAACCUUCGACAGCGGAGGUUCACUGGAGCUCAUAGAUGUCUCUCCUCAGCGAGGACAGCCCUUUGAAUGUUUGAUCUCAAAUCAGGUAGGACUACCCGCUGAACUUAAGCAUAUCAAUAAGCGGAGGA